rnacentral:rRNA from 1 species
GACGAACGCUGGCGGCGUGCUUAACACAUGCAAGUCGAACGGACUGGCGAACGGGUGAGUAACACGUUGGUGAUCUUCCUUGCCCUUCGGGAUAAGCUUGGGAAACUGGUUCUAAUACCGGCUAGUUCAAGAUGAGCUCGCGGCCUCUCAGCUUGUUGGUGGGGUAAUGGCCUACAAAGGCGCCGACGGGUAGCCGGCCUGAGAGGGUGUACGGCCACAUUGGGACUGCGAUACGGACCAGACUCCUACGGGAGGCAGCAGUGGGGAAUAUUGCACAAUGGGCGGAAGCCUGAUGCAGCGACGCCGCGUGGGGGAUGAAGGCCUUCGGGUUGUAAACUCCUUUCGACAGGGACGCGGUACCUGUAUAAGAAGCACCGGCUAACUACGUGCCAGCAGCCGCGGUAAUUC